AGAGUUUGAUCCUGGCUCAGAUUGAACGCUGGCGGAAUGCUUUACACAUGCAAGUCGAACGAUGAAGUCUAGCUUGCUAGACGGAUUAGUGGCGAACGGGUGAGUAAUAUAUCGGAACGUAUCCAUUAAUGGGGGAUAACUAGUCGAAAGAUUGGCUAAUACCGCAUACGUCCUACGGGAGAAAGCUAGGGACCUUCGGGCCUGGCGUUAAUGGAGCGGCCGAUAUCUGAUUAGCUAGUUGGUGAGGUAAAGGCUCACCAAGGCGACGAUCAGUAGCUGGUCUGAGAGGACGACCAGCCACACUGGAACUGAGACACGGUCCAGACUCCUACGGGAGGCAGCAGUGGGGAAUUUUGGACAAUGGGCGCAAGCCUGAUCCAGCCAUUCCGCGUGAGUGAAGAAGGCCUUCGGGUUGUAAAGCUCUUUCGCAAGGGAAGAAAACUUACUCUCUAACAUAGGGUGAGGAUGACGGUACCUUGAUAAGAAGCACCGGCUAACUACGUGCCAGCAGCCGCGGUAAUACGUAGGGUGCGAGCGUUAAUCGGAAUUACUGGGCGUAAAGCGUGCGCAGGCUGUUUUGUAAGUCAGAUGUGAAAUCCCUGGGCUCAACCUAGGAACUGCGUUUGAAACUACAAGACUAGAAUAUGUCAGAGGGGGGUAGAAUUCCACGUGUAGCAGUGAAAUGCGUAGAGAUGUGGAGGAAUACCAAUGGCGAAGGCAGCCCCCUGGGAUAAUAUUGACGCUCAUGCACGAAAGCGUGGGGAGCAAACAGGAUUAGAUACCCUGGUAGUCCACGCCCUAAACGAUGUCUACUAGUUGUUGGUGGAGUAAAAUCCAUGAGUAACGCAGCUAACGCGUGAAGU
rnacentral:rRNA from 1 species